rnacentral:rRNA from 1 species
UGGGGAAUAUUGCACAAUGGGCGCAAGCCUGAUGCAGCCAUGCCGCGUGUAUGAAGAAGGCCUUCGGGUUGUAAAGUACUUUCAGUCGGGAGGAAGGUGGUAAGGUUAAUAACCUUAUCAAUUGACGUUACCGACAGAAGAAGCACCGGCUAACUCCGUGCCAGCAGCCGCGGUAAUACGUGGGGGGCAAGCGUUAAUCGGAAUUACUGGGCGUAAAGCGCACGCAGGCGGUUGAUUGAGUCAGAUGUGAAAUCCCCGGGCUUAACCCGGGAAUUGCAUCUGAUACUGGUCAGGUAGAGUCUUGUAGAGGGGGGUAGAAUUCCAUGUGUAGCGGUGAAAUGCGUAGAGAUGUGGAGGAAUACCGGUGGCGAAAGCGGCCCCCUGGACAAAGACUGACGCUCAGGUGCGAAAGCGUGGGGAGCAAAAAGG